ACUCAAAUGAAUAGACGGGGACCCGCACAAGCAGUGGAGUAUGUGGUUUAAUUCGAAGCAACGCGAAGAACCUUACCAGGGCUUGACAUCCUCAGAACCCCCAAGAGAUUGGGGGGUGCCUUCGGGAACUGAGAGACAGGUGGUGCAUGGUUGUCGUCAGCUCGUGUCGUGAGAUGUUGGGUUAAGUCCCGCAACGAGCGCAACCCUUAUCGUUAGUUGCUACCAGUAAGAUGAGCACUCUAGCGAGACUGCCGGUGACAAAUCGGAGGAAGGUGGGGACGACGUCAAAUCAUCAUGCCCCUUAUGUCCUGGGCUACACACGUACUACAAUGGCCGUACACAAAGGGAAGCAAGAGAGCGAUCUGGAGCAAAUCCCCAAAAGCGGCCUCAGUUCAGAUUGCAGGCUGCAACUCGCCUGCAUGAAGUCGGAAUUGCUAGUAAUCGCGAAUCAGCAUGUCGCGGUGAAUACGUUCCCGGGUCUUGUACACACCGCCCGU
rnacentral:rRNA from 1 species